GAUGAACGCUGGCGGCGUGCUUAACACAUGCAAGUCGAACGAAGCACUUUAACCUGAUUCUUCGGAUGAAGGUUUUUGUGACUGAGUGGCGGACGGGUGAGUAACGCGUGGGUCACCUGCCUCAUACAGGGGGAUAACAGUUAGAAAUGACUGCUAAUACCGCAUAAGACCACAGAGCCGCAUGGCUCGGUGGGAAAAACUCCGGUGGUAUGAGAUGGACCCGCGUCUGAUUAGGUAGUUGGUGGGGUAACGGCCUACCAAGCCAACGAUCAGUAGCCGACCUGAGAGGGUGACCGGCCACAUUGGGACUGAGACACGGCCCAAACUCCUACGGGAGGCAGCAGUGGGGAAUAUUGCACAAUGGGGGAAACCCUGAUGCAGCGACGCCGCGUGAGCGAAGAAGUAUUUCGGUAUGUAAAGCUCUAUCAGCAGGGAAGAAAAUGACGGUACCUGACGAAGAAGCACCGGCUAAAUACGUG
rnacentral:rRNA from 1 species